rnacentral:sRNA from 1 species
CAAGUUGAAUCUGGUACAACAUGUCCGUUCGGUGAAGCAUCAGCAGACUGAGGGCCUACGGAAGCUCCAGCUCCACCAGCAAGGCCUGGCACCGGAGGAGGACAACCUCAGUGAGAUCUUUUUUGUCAAAGAUUGCCCACCAAAUGAGCUUGAAACUGCCUCAUUGGGAGCCAGGACUUGUGAUGAUGAUCUUACAGAGCAGCAGUUGAGAUCAACCUCAGGUAAUGGUUCCUACUCCUUCUCAAAAUAUUUCCUUGUCCUAAAUGAGUUGCUUUUGUCACUCUCAUAAUUGGCGUAAUAACAUUCUCUGGAACUUCUCUAAUUAGAUCUGAUCAUAUGCCUUAUUCAAAUAAGUAAAAAGCAAAAUGAAAUAAAUUCAAUAAUUGGAAGUAUAUUUAAAUUGACUUUACAUUUUAGAGCAGUUUUAGGUUCACAGCAAA